AUUCCAGCUCCAAUAGCGUAUAUUAAAGUUGUUGCAGUUAAAAAGCUCGUAGUUGGAUUUCGGAAUGGGUCAAUUGGUCCGCCGCAAGGUGAGUUACUGGUUGGUCUGUUCUUCUUCGCAAAGACUGCGUAUGCACUUUAUUGGGUGUGCGUAGGAUUUACGACGUUUACUUUGAAAAAAUUAGAGUGUUCAAAGCAGGCUAUCGCUUGAAUACAUGAGCAUGGAAUAAUGGAAUAGGACUUUGGUCUUAUUUUAUUGGUUUCUGAGACCAAAGUAAUGAUUAAGAGGGACAAUUGGGGGCAUCCGUAUUUCGUUGUCAGAGGUGAAAUUCUUGGAUUUACGGAAGAUAAACUACUGCGAAAGCAUUCGCCAAGGAUGUUUUCAUUG
rnacentral:rRNA from 1 species